GUCGUGACCUGGCAGACUCCGAGGCUACGGCGCUGCAUGCAGCUCCCACAGAGUCGGUCCUGCUGCGCAUCAAUCAUAAAGCCAGGGUCUGCAUGUGGAAACCUCAGGUACAUGAACAGAGAGGAAGAAGGUGGCAGAGGGCAAAAAAAAGGAUUUCUGUAAACAGACCAAGUGCGAAGUGAAGAGCAGAGGUUUGCAGCCUAUGAGAAACCACCACAAGUAUGCCCUGAAUGACACCGCAUGGAAGUAGGCUGGGUUCACAGGGUCCCUCAAAAAUGCCAGACAAAAUAGGACAGUAUGCUAUAAUCCAACCCAAUAUUUAUUCCAGUUAUUAAAAUCAAGUUCA